rnacentral:rRNA from 1 species
AUGCAACCGGGCAGUUUAUGUCGUCAAGGGGCUGUUUCGCAUAUGGUUCAGCUUUACCAAGUGACUGUGGGGACGGGAGAGGAGCAAGAGGUCACCCUUGAGUGUGUCUGUGCUGUGCUGGAGCAGUAUUCAGAUGUUUUUGGCGAACCGACAGGGCUACCACCAAAGCGCAGCUGUGAUCAUCAUAUUCCUCUAGUACCCGGUGCUCAACCUGUCAAUAUCCGGCCGUAUCGUCACAAGCCAGAGCACAAGACUGAGAUUGAGGAGCAAGUGGCUGAGUUGCUCAGGCAGGGGGUUACCAGACGCAGCUCUAGCCCGUUUGCAUCACCAGUUAUCUUGGUUAAGAAGAAGGAUGGCAUGUGGCGUUUGUGUAUUGAUUAUAGUCACCUCAAUGCCAUGACAUCCGUCGCUAGAUUCCCAGUUCCAGUGAUUGAAGAGUUACUUGAUGAACUUCACGGAGCAGUGUGGUUCUCCAAACUCGAUCUCCGAGCAGGAUAUUACCAAAUCAGAAUCGCCGAGGGCGACGAGUACAAGACUGCCUUCCAAACCCACUCGGGACAUUUUGAAUUCUUGGUACUCUCAAUGGGUCUAGCAGGAGGCCCGUCCACUUUCAAUGGGGCCAUGACUAAUACUAUGCAUCCUCUGCUCCGCAAGUGUGUUCUGCUGUUUUUUGACGACAUCCUAGUCUUCAGCCGCACUUUGGAGGAUCAUACAGAGCAUCUUAAGCAGGUUUUUCGCCUCUUGCAGCGAGACCAGUGGAAGCUCAAGGCUUCAAAAUGUUGCUUUGGCCAGCAGAGGUUGUCUUAUUUGGGGCACGUCAUCAGUGAGGAGGGGGCUGCCACAGAUCCUAGCAAGAUCCAAGCCGUCGAGGAGUGGCCUACACCAACUGAUGCUAAAGAAGUGCGACGAUUCCUCGGGCUGGCCGGUUAUUACCGUCGAUUUGUACGCCACUUUGGGAUCAUGGCACGGCCCUUGUUCAAUCUACUCAAAAAGGGAGCCCCGUUUGUAUGGACUCAGGCAACAGACGAGUCCUUUCAGCUGCUUAAAAAAGGGCUCAUCACAGCCCCGGUGUUAGCAUUACCCAACUUCUCUCAACCCUUCAUCAUGGAAAUAGAUGCAUGUGACGCCGGCGUGGGGGCAGUUCUGCAGCAGCAAGGGCAUCCAAUCGCCUAUAUGAGCAAAGCUUUGUGUCCCAAAUUCAGAGGUUUGUCAACAUAUGAAAAAGAGUGUCUCGCAGUGGUCAUGGCGGUUGAGCGAUGGCGACCCUAUUUGCAGCACAGUGAGUUCGUGAUCCAGACUGAUCAAAAGAGCCUCAUUCACCUGGAGGAACAGAGGCUGACUACACCGUGGCAGCAAAAGGCUUUCACCAAACUGCUGGGACUCCGCUACACUAUCAAAUACAAGAAAGGGGUAGAGAAUGGGGCAGCUGACGCAUUAUCAAGAGCCACACAUGCGGAUCAACUUCACACGGUCUCUUCAUGCAAGCCUAGUUGGAUGGAAGAUGUCCUCAGCAUCUACAACGCUAAUCCUCAAGCACACAAGUUACUGGAACAGCUGGCCAUCUGUCCGGAUCCCAAAGGGCGCUUCACUCUAGAACAGGGCAUCAUUCGUUUCCGAGGGAGGAUUUGGCUCGGGGGCGCAACAGCUAUUCAGCAGCAGAUCAUUGCUGCGUUUCAUGACACUCCGCUCGGUGGACACUCCGGCUUCCCAGUCACUUGGCGUCGGGUGCGCCGCUUAUUUGCAUGGCCUAAGAUGAAGACUCACAUUCAGCACUACGUCCAAUGCUGCCCGACUUGUCAACAGGCGAAACUGGAUCGAGCUGCUUAUCCAGGGCUACUUGAGCCUUUGCCAGUACCCAAGGAGUCAUGGGAGAUGAUAAGCAUGGAUUUUAUCGAUGGUCUGCCGCCUUCUGGCGGAGCCAACUGCAUUCUGGUCAUUGUGGAUAAACUGACCAAGUUCGCCCAUUUCCUUCCAUUGGCACACCCGUACACGGCUUCGAAGGUCGCUCUCUUGUACAUGAACCAAGUCUACUGGCUGCAUGGAUUCCCAGGUUCGAUCGUAUCCGACCGUGACCCGGUGUUUACAAGUCAUUUCUGGCAAGAGUUGUUUAAAUACGCUGGUACGGGCCUACGCAUGAGUUCCGCCAAUCACCCACAGACUGACGGGCAGACACAGCGAGUCAACCAAUGCCUUGAAACCUUUUUGCGGUGCUUCACUCAAGCAUGCCCACGUCGCUGGAGCUUCUGGAUCCCUCUGGCCCAAUUCUGGUACAAUUCUUCGCACCAUUCUGCUAUUGGCAUGUCACCUUUCCGAGCCAUGUACGGCCAUGAACCACGGCAAUGGGGGAUAACAGCGACCAGCGCCUGUUCAGUGCCAGCUCUGCGAUCCUGGCUUGAUGAACAAGCGGUGGUGCAGGAUCUGUUACAACAACACCUGAACCGUGCUAGGCAAUGCAUGAAGCAGCAAGCUGACAAGAGAUCAUUCCGGGUCUUUGAGGUUGAUAAUUUUGUCUACCUGAAGCUGCAGCCUUACAUUCAGACUUCGGUUGCUCGACGGGCCUGUCACAAGCUUUCCUUCCGGUUCUUCGGGCCUUACAAAAUCAUUGCUCGUGUCAACGAUGUUGCUUACAAGCUGCAACUCCCGAAGCAAGCUCAAAUCCACCCAGUCUUUCAUGUUUCACAACUCCGGAAAGCACUUGUCCCAGGUACGACAGCUUCCAGCAACCUUCCUGUCCAUUCUGACAUUCCUGUGGUUCCUGUGAAGAUCAUGGAGCACCACUGGCGCCAACGCCGGGGGCCUAUGGUGGAGCAGAUCCUAGUCCGCUGGUCCAACCCAGCGGCUGUAGAGGAUUCCUGGGAGGACCAUGCUGCGCUGCAAGCUCGGUUCCCGGCUUCUGAGGCUUGGGGGCAAGCCUCGCCUCAAGAAAGGGGGGAUGUCAGCACCCCUGGGCCACCAAGCAGUGACGGGCCUGGCUCGCCCACGGCAACAAGGCCAGCGCGGGCUCGCAAGGCAAACUCAAGAGUGUUUGGGCCAGAGUGGGUGUGA